rnacentral:tRNA from 1 species
UUAGAUGGAUCUUUACAAAUCCCAUGAACA